rnacentral:rRNA from 1 species
AACUCAUUUGUUAGCAAGGGCCGGGCAAGACCGGUGCCAGCCGCCGCGGUAACACCGGCGGCCCGAGUGGUAACCGUUUUUAUUGGGUCUAAAGGGUCCGUAGCCGGCCUGAUAAGUCCUUUGGGAAAUCUGACAGCUUAACUGUCAGGCUUCUAAGGGAUACUGUCAGGCUUGGGACCGGGAGAGGUAAGGGGUACUCCAGGGGUAGGAGUGAAAUCUUGUAAUCCCUGGGGGACCAUCUGUGGCGAAGGCGCCUUACCAGAACGGGUCCGACGGUGAGGGACGAAAGCUAGGGGAGCAAACCGGAUUAGAUACCCGGGUAGUCCUAGCCGUAAACGAUGCUCGCUAGGUGUCUGGCACGGUGCGUCCGUGUCCGGUGCCGCAGGGAAGCCGUUAAGCGAGCCACCUGGGAAGUACGGUCGCAAGGCUGAAACUUAAAGGAAUUGGC